CCGGGGCAUAGAACUCUGAAAUAAGGGAUCCUCUGCCAUCUCCUGUAAAUGGCUUUUUUUCAACAGGCUGGGCUUUCAAAGCAGAAGUGCUAUUGGAUCUCUUAAGUCUGCUUUUAUUUCCAUUCACAGAGGAAUUACUAGUGCUAUCCAAUUCAUCUCCAGCAUGCUCUCUCUCAAAAGAAUACUCCUCAUUAUGGUCCAGAGUAAACUGCUUCCCAUUUUUAUUCUCAUCACUCGGUAAAGCAUCAUGACUUAAUCGAGGUGUUAGAUGCACUAUAGCUUUCUCCUCUGAUCCUGCAGAAAUUAUGUCACUAUUUGUUAAAAUUUUCUUCCCUGCAUUUUUAGGAGGCUCUUUGUUAUUUGUCACAGAAGCCUUUGCCAUAGACUGCUCAACAGCCGCUUUAAGGUUUUUGGUCUCUUUCUUUUUAUAAU
rnacentral:misc_RNA from 1 species